UCCUAGUCAGGUUCGUUUCCACUGUGCCAUGAUGGGAACUCCCAGGAGUCUUCUAAGCUUGUGCUGUUAUGUGUGUUUCCUGGCUUAGCACUGGCCAAGGGCAUUGCAGAAAAGCCUUUGAAGUUACUGCAGAACGUACUAUAGGAGUCUACUUAAGACUUGACGGACAGAGAAGAAUCACAUCCCUUGGUUGUGUGGUGUCUUGUCUACUGGGGCCUUUAUUAAGACGUUGGAGUCAUCUGGGCCAUGGUGAAGUGUUCCUCACACCGGCAGCAGGGGGCCAACCAAGGAGGGGAAAUAUGAAGAUGAAACCCAAGAUGCUGAGGCUGGAGAAGUGAAAAGAAGGACCGCCGCUGCAUCUUUGAUGAUGCUCCAGACUGCUGAAGUGGCCUGGAGCCUCCGACUUAGGGACAUCUUGUCAAGUGAAGUAAUAAACCCGUGUUCUUCAGGGGUUUCUA